UUAGUUUGUGGAUGAUA
rnacentral:miRNA from 1 species